rnacentral:snRNA from 13 species
AGCUUUGCACAGUGGCAGUAUCAUAGCCAAUGGGGUUUAUCUGAGAUCAGAUUAUCGCUAAUUGAAAACGUUCCCAAUACGUGCCGUGAUGACAUGUAAUAGAGUCGGCAUUGACAAUAUUUGACAGUCUCUAGGGAGA